rnacentral:rRNA from 1 species
CGAACGGGUGAGUAACACGUGAGUAACCUGCCCACAACUUUGGGAUAACGCUAGGAAACUGGUGCUAAUACUGGAUAUGUGCUCCUGCUGCAUGGUGGGGGUUGGAAAGCUCCGGCGGUUGUGGAUGGACUCGCGGCCUAUCAGCUUGUUGGCGGGGUAGUGGCCUACCAAGGCGGCGACGGGUAGCCGGCCUGAGAGGGUGACCGGCCACAUUGGGACUGAGAUACGGCCCAG